UCCACAGAUUCACCUCAACAACCAUCACACAGACCUUCUAACAGGACACGUAACAAAUAUAACGAGCCGUUGUGAACCCUAAAUCCGUCCCUUUAAAUCACCUGUCCAGCCAAACGUAAACAAUAACAAACACCCUCCGCAUACCUGAGUGACGGGCAGGCAAGGAGGUGAGCCCGUGCAGCCAGGAUGGGCGGCCCUUCCAACUCCUCCCUGAGAAAGGCCCCGACAACCCCUCGCCACCCUGACAACACAGCGCCCAGGCCAGACUAUUGGGUCCUCCUCUAUGUACCUAACUUGAUCGGUUACAUCCGGCUCUCCCUGCUCUUGCUAGCCUUCUGUUUGCUCCAUUCCUCCUCUCCCGCUUGGUUUGUGAGCUUCUACACUGGAUCUAUUGUCCUCGACGGGUUUGACGGGUUUGCCGCACGUAAACUCCACCAGUGUUCUCUCUUUGGAGCGUGGUUUGAUGUGGUGCUUGACAAUCUGAGUCGCGGUCUUCUGUGGACGCACAUCCAUCCGCUGCUGUAUCUUGUCUCUGCCCUCGAGUGGACGACAUUCUGCUGCAACUAUAUCCUGGGAGCAGAGUGGCAGCAGACCUUCACGCAGGGCAAAAAGAAGGGCUUCAGCUACUUCAUUUCCCUCCUCAUGGCACAGAACUGGCGUAACCCCCUGGGAGUGUUGGUGAUCCUGGGGCUGCACGUGUUUCCCUUGUGGCUGUUUGGCAUCCAGCACGGGAUCUUUGCGUCACACCUCACCUUCGUGCCAUCGAGUGUACAGGUUGCCGGCCUGGUUGUGCUGGGGUGUGGGCGGGUGCUGUGUGGCAUCGUGGAGGUGUGGUGUGUCGCCUCUCACACCAGGCGGCUCUUGGUCAACUCCUCCCCAAGAUGAACGGACGUCUCAGGGGUGCAGAAUCUUCCCACACACAGCAUGAGGCCUUCUACUCAUGCAGGAAUCACGUAGCAGUAGGAAUUAUAUGUAGAAAAUAGCUCAGAAUAAUAACCUCCUAUGUACUCAUACAGGAAUCAUGUAGCAGUAGUAAUUAUGUAUGUAGGAGACAGGUCGCAGUAGUAAUCUUCCCACACGCAGCUUGAGGCCUUGAACUCACGCAGGAAUCACGUAGCAGUAGGAAUUAUUUAUGUAGGAAGCAGGUCACAAUGGUAAUGAUAAUAUAUGGAGGAAAUAAGAGCUGUAGAAUAGGAGAUUUUGGCCAUUCUCAUCUCAUGUAUUAUUUUUUUUUUUUUUCUAGGUGCUCCCCAUUGGUGACACAGGCGAAUUUUAUUUAUAGUGGCUGUCGGUACUAAAUGAAGCACUCAGAAUUCAAAUGGAUGCUGGUACGAUAAUGUUUUUUAUGCUCUAAGUAAGUAAGCGAUCAGCAUCUUCACUCUUUCAUCCCUUUCAUUGGUAAACUCUGGAACAUCCCCAUGCUGUCAGAAUCCCUUAUGCGGGAGUUAAUCAGCAUCUUCACUCUUUCAUCCCUUUCAUUGGUAAACUCUGGAACAUCCCCAUGCUGUCCAAAUCUCUUGUGCGGGAGUUAACCAGCAUCUUCACUCUUUCAUUGGUAAACUCUGGAACAUCCCUAUGCUGUCAGAAUCCCUUAUGCAGGAGUUAAUCAGCAUCGUCACUCUUUUAUCCCUUCUGCUGGUAAACUCUGAAACAUCCCUGUGUUGUCCAAAUCCUUCAUGCAAGAGUUAACCAGCAUCUUCACUCCUUCAUCCCUCUUUUGGUAACAAUAUGGCACUGCUGAUGAAAUUGGCCAGACUUUCUUGUUCUAUGGCUCUGAAGGAUACAGGGAAUUACAUACAUGCAGCAAUCAGGUAGUAGUAGUAGUAAUAAUAGUAGUAGUGGUAGUCGUAAAAAUUGUACAUGACUAUAUUCUUCCAUGUCAGCCUGAGUUCAGGUCUUGUUGUAGUCUGCUGGUAACGGCCUCACGGAAAAUGCUGAAUAUUUAUUAUGCCUCCGAUGAUUUUUUUCUAUAUGCCUUUACAAUAGUUGUAUAUUAUAUUGACAAAAGUGAGGUGGAGACAGUGAGGUUCGGAUGUGAAUAUAUGUUUUAUUGACUAUAUUUAUUCUUUGGUAGGAAAAAAUUAUAGAGUUGUGUAUUUAAGAGCUAUAACAACACAAAAUACAUUUAUAUAUGAAUUUAUUUCUUUUAACUUGCCGUAUUGCUGUUAAAUAAUAAUAAUAACAGUGAUACAGAAAUUUAUACAUGAAUCUCGCUUAAUGCAUUUCUAUUUCUGUAACGACUUUUAGCAUAUUUAUAUCCAGAGGCAUGUGAGACACUCUUUUAUAAGGGACUCAGUGUGGCGUGCAUGGCCGACAGUGUUGUGUAGCUGCUGUGUGUUGAGAAGGAGUGUGUUGUGUAUGGCACCAGUGUUGUGAGGGAGGGAGGCAGUCCGUCACUCUGAUCAGUGUUGGCCCUAGGCAGAUUCGGCAUCAAUCUACCUCAUGUUAGCUUUGUGAGUUUUAAAUUUCACAAGGACAUAAGGAGACUUCAAACUCCAACUUCCACUCAUUAGCUCUGAGUCAGUAGGUCCUGGGGCACAUUUUUACUCUUGGAGCUUUAGGUAGAAUAUCACAACUGCCAACAGAUGGACAGUUUAUCCCAGUAGUACAAGCCACACACUAUACUAUAUUAGAACUCUUACCACAUUAUUUUAGCAUGCUGUGAGCUUACUGUAAGGUAGUGGUUCUCAGCCUGGUUUAGCCCACAGAGUCCACAGAGGCAUAGACUACCAGCUGAGAACCACUGCUGUAGGAUCUGUACACUUGCCUUGCUGCAGUUCAAGGCACAAAUCCAAGGCAGCUAAUAAGGUGCCCUGGCAGUGUUGUGCUGUACCAAACGUCCAUAUAUAAAGCAUAAGAAAAGCAUCAUCUUC